rnacentral:tRNA from 1 species
GGCUCGUUAGCUCAGUAGGUUAGAGUGCCGAUAUGAAAUGCUAUUUGACCAUCGGAGGACGAAGGUUCAAAUCCUUCACGAGCCG